rfam:Brachypodium distachyon strain Bd21 chromosome 1, whole genome shotgun sequence.
CUAUUACUUCCUCCGUCCAACAAAGGAUGUCUCAACUUUGACUAAAUUUUAAUGCAUCUAUAUACUAAAUCAUGUAGAUACAUCCAAAUUUUGACAAACUUGAGACAUCUUUUGUUGGAAGGAGGGAGUAGUAU